UUACUAACACACUCUCUCUGUGGAGUAUUGAUGUCUCAUAUUAUUUACAUAACUCUACUUCUCCACCUGUAUGAAAGACAACUUUAUUCUAUACGUUUCAAGCUUCUUUUAGACUAAACAUUAUACCCUCUUUUUAUUUGGGAAGCAAAGGGAAAAGAAAGUCUUUGCUGACACAGAAAAUACAGGAGCUUCUUGAGCUUAGCCCUUUGAAGCACAGUCUACAGCAGAGAGAAAGCACAUGCACAAGAGAAUCUACAGAGAAGAAGCCUGCAAAAAAGGAGGGAAUUCUGGCUAAAAAUCACCUUUGAUUUUGGCUAAAUAAUGACUAGCGUUCUGGAGUAUUUUAAUGACAUUGAUGAAGAGAAGGGGGUUCUGGAACAAUGUACUGAAGAACUUUUAAGUCAAGAAACGUUUGGACAUACCAGUGUGGAUUACUCUUCAAGGAGCAGUGUUCCAUUUUUUCAGCAUAAAAAGCCUCAUGGAAAAGACAAAGAAAACAGGCACUAGCCCAGUAGAGGAGUCUAAAGUGGAAGAGGCAUCAGAGCACUCUGUCACAGUGAGCAUAUUGCCAC